UGCCUUCUGUGUACACCUCUCAAGACC
rnacentral:piRNA from 1 species